ensembl:lncRNA
CUCAGAGACAGUUGGACCCUCGCUGGGUGGGCCUGUGCCCGAGGCGCCUUGAGGACAACACAGAGAGCAACGUCCAGGCCUUCAAAUUUUGCCUGUGAUGCUAAUAAUUUUGACCUGAUUGACCAAAAUGAAAAAAGGCUUUGGAAGGCAAGAAUGUACUUGGCAGCAUGUGCAUGGCGUAGGAUCUAAAAACUGUGUCAAUACACGCGGUGAAGAAAACUUUGGAGUCAUUACAGCCACGUGGUAGCCUGGAAAUCAUGCAUUUUCAGCACCAUCCCGGGGAGGGAGGAGGACAAUGCGGCACAGAGCAGCCUGCCCAUGUUGAAGGUGGAAUCCCAGCUCACAGAGGUACGGAUGCUGGGGAAGAGAUGCUUCCUUGGGAGCGGCUGCUGCCGCUAAGAUGCCAGUUUGCCCGGUUACCCCCUCAGUCAAAAGGACAGUUGCACCAGGUCUGCCUACUAGGGACACUUGGGGAACCCCACGUCCUUGGGGCCUGAGCACCAAGAAACUGUGGCCCAGCUGUGUAUCGUGCUCUUGUUCUGCCAGAGCCCAGAGGACUUGCGGAGGGAGCAGUCCUGACCCAGGAAAUAGUCUUAGCAGCCCCACUGUGCACACAGAGGCUUUAUCCUGAGCUGGGGGCCUCCCCGGCCUCAGGACGGAUUGGAGGCAGCGGAUCCCAUCUGCCUCGUGAGCCCCCAUCACUCAUGGAGAAAACGGGAUGACCUAGAAGCCAGGGUUGGGGAAAACAGGGAUUAGCACCGACAAGGAACCCACCUGCCUAAGGACAGAACAGCCAGAGCCCUUAGCAUCUGCGUGCGAGGCUCUGUCAGAAGGGACAGCACACCCUCCCCCCGCUGGGGAGGAGGCCAAGGGAACCCAGGCCACCUGGAGGGAUUCUGGAAUGACUGGGGUGUGGCAGAGAGGAGAGGACAGUGGUCUGAUUGGUUCCCAGGACCCAACCCGAGCAGAGAAGGUGGGGAAUUGGGGUGAUCUGCUCUGCGCGCCUAGUCACUCUUUCUCCACGGGCAUUCAGUAUCACCCACACCCCCUCUGUGCCGGGCAGCAUUGUCCAUGUGAAGUGUAUGAAUAAGACAGGACCCUGAAGGAGCCGUGGUCACUACACUGCAGAGGCAGAGAGCCCUCUCUGAAUACGUCAUCACAGCGCAGCACGAUGGGCACCGGAGCAGGAGGAACUGAGGGCAAAAGAUACGACCCCACACCAGCACUUACACCAGCACUGUCUAGUAUGUUCCUCCUAGUUUUCUCACUUUUCUUAGCGUUGUCUUCACAAAUGGAUUGUAAGUGCCUUUAGGGCAGAGACCAGCUUUCUGCCUCUUUAUGAUAAGUAGUGGUCAGUGCUUUUAAAUUGACCAACCAUGAAAACUACAAUGAGAUACCACCUCACUCCCGUCAGAAUGGUAUAAUUAACAAGACAGGAAACAAUAAGUGUUGGAGAGUAUGUGGAGAGAAGGGAACCAUCAUGCACUGCUGGCGGGAGCGCAAACACUAUGGAAAACAGUGUGGAGAUUCCUCAAAAAAUUGAGAAUAGAUCUACCAUAUGAUCCAGCUAUUCCACUGCUGGGUAUUUAUCCAAAGAACUUGAAAACACAAAUGCAUAAAGAUACAUGCACCCCUAUGUUCAGCGCAGCAUUAUGCACAAUAGCCAAGACUUGGAAGUAACCUAGGUGCCCAUCAGGGGACAAAUGGAUAUAGAAGAUGUGGUAUAUAUACACAACGGAAUACUACUCAGCCGUAAGAAACGAUGAAAUCCAGCCAUUUGUGACAACAUGGAUGGACCCUGAGGAUAUUAUGCUAAGUGAAAUAAGUCAGAGGGAGAAAGUCAAAUACCAUAUGAUCUCACUCAUAAAAAGAAGAUAAAAACAACAAAGAACAAUCUCACAGAGACAGAGAUUGGAUUGGUGGUUACCAGAGGGGAAGGGGAGAGGGAGGAAGGUGAAAGGGGUGAUUAGGCUCAUGUGUGUGGUGAUGGAUUGUGAUUAGUCACUGGGUGGUGAACAUGAUGUAAUCUACACAGAAAUCAAAAUAUGAUGUACACCCGAAAUUUAUAUAAUGCUACCCAAUGUUAUCACAAUAACAAUAAUUAAUUAAGUAAGUAAGUAAUUAAUUAAAUUGACCAACUAGCCUUGAACCCUGGGGAACCCAGGCCAUCUUGGGGGGUGGGCUGAUAUGUUUGGCGAUUAUAGCCCCACAGUCUUUUUAGGAAAGGAGGCAGAAAAGCUCCUGGGGCUGGUUAACUCAGGCUCUGCUUCCUGAGAGGCCUGCUUAAAGUCUCUUGUCCAUCAGCUGAGCUGCUUUGGGCAAGUUACUUCACCUCUCUGAGGCUGUUUCCCUAGCUGUAAGAGUAGAUGACGAUGCUGACCUCACAGUGUCUGAAGAGCUGCCUUAGAGCUGUGCCCAGCUGUGGCGAGCACUCAGAACAGGGCGUGGCUGCUCAGGACUCCAGCUCUGAGUCCCUUUAUCUUGUUCCAUCAGGCGCUGGCUCUUUCUAGAACCGACCUUCUCUGUUCUGCUCUAAGCUAGACUCUGGAGGUCCAGAAAGAGAUUAGUUUUUGAGGUUUACUUUUAGGUAAAAAGGGAGGAUUUAAAAAAAAUGCUUUGACCUGCUGUUGGCUGUUUGAAAGACGUGCGGUAUAACUAGGAGGAGAGAAAGGACCAGGUGACGUGUAGACCAGAGGGGUGUUCAGUCUUAAAAAAUGACUCUCUAGGAGAAGAUGCAAACAGACAGAAAAGUAGAAAGAAUAGUAUCAGUGUAACGAACAUCCACCGCCUAAAUGUUUUUCAUUGUAGUAAAGCAAAUAAAACAUAAAAUUUACCGCUUUCACCACUUUUAAGUGUACAGUUCAGUGGCAUUAAGUACACUCACAAUGUUGCGUCGCCAUCGCCACCCCCUAUCUCCAGACCUUUUUCACCAUCCUACACUGGAACUCUGUCCCCAUCAAACGCUGACUCCCCAGCCCCUCCCCCAGCCCCUUGGAACCACCUCUCUGCUUUCUGUCUUUAUGAAUUCGACUAUUCUGGCUAGCUUAUAUAAGUUCACC